rnacentral:rRNA from 1 species
UACGUAGGUGGCAAGCGUUGUCCGGAAUUAUUGGGCGUAAAGCGCGCGCAGGCGGCUAUGUAAGUCUGAUGUUAAAGCCCGGGGCUCAACCCCGGUUCGCAUUGGAAACUGUGUAGCUUGAGUGCAGAAGAGGAAAGCGGUAUUCCACGUGUAGCGGUGAAAUGCGUAGAGAUGUGGAGGAACACCAGUGGCGAAGGCGGCUUUCUGGUCUGUAACUGACGCUGAGGCGCGAAAGCGUGGGGAGCAAACAGG